CAAGCGUCAGCCGAGGACGGAGGUCAAGGUCGACAAAGGAAAAAGAAAAAAAAAAUCUAUUCAAUAUGGAAGUAACAAAUUGUAUGUAACAGGUUGUCUAUAAACCGAUGUAAUGUUAUCAUAGUUACGUCUUUUACCAUUGAGAUACAGAUGUAUUGGGGAUGGAACGCGGUCAAACACUCGCGGUAAAGCGAACAGAACCGAAUGGAAAGAAAGCCAAGGCAAAGAGUGAGUUACUAUAUGCUAUAUAUAUACAUAUAUAUGUAUAAUAUAUACUAUGGCUAUGCUAUUUUUCCGCCGGCAGAGAUCGACGAAUGGAAGUUAAGAGUUUGUUCUUGUGGAUUCUCUCUUUCACACUUAACUCACAACUCGCAACUCGUUCGAUCGCAACAACUCAACUCGUCGUCACAUCACUCUGCCCAUGCUACGUUAUACUACACAUCAUUCGCAAACUACGAGGAUACCAAAUGCAUAAAACGGCAACGUCGCCUUUUACUGACGAAUAUCUCGAGUAUUAUGUGUACAUCUAUAUAUUUAUGUAUAUAUCUAUAUAGAUAUAUGCAUGCAGGCACAAAAAUAUACGUACACAUAUCUUUACCGAUUUGAUUGUUGGUCGGUCGGUCAUCCGUCAGUCAUUGGCCAUUACUUAUUCAACUUUCUUUCACUAUAUGUUUAUCGUCAUAUCUGUAUUUUAUUUUAUUACUGCUUUAGUAUAUUUGUGUAUGCACUUUUUGAGCAAAACAAAACUCAAAAAUAAAGGAAAAAACAUAUAUGCAGAUUCAUAAAGAUGAAAACAAACAAAUCAUCAGCCAGGAAUAUACAUAAUGAGCUUAAACGAAAAAUGACGACUAUCAAAAUUUUUAUAUAUGUAUAUAUAUAUUUUUUUUUCGCAACAAGUUUAACUUGUCAUUGUUCAAAAAUAUUUUUCUGGCAAAUGUUAUUGGAUGCAGUUUAAUAUUUU